rnacentral:rRNA from 1 species
CGGCGAGUGAAGCGGCAACAGCUCAAAUUUGAAAUCUGGCCCCCCGGGUCCGAGUUGUAAUUUGCAGAGGAUGCUUUUGGCGCGGUGCCUUCCGAGUUCCCUGGAACGGGACGCCAUAGAGGGUGAGAGCCCCGUACGGUUGGACACCAAGCCUAUGUAAAGCUCCUUCGACGAGUCGAGUAGUUUGGGAAUGCUGCUCAAAAUGGGAGGUAUAUUUCUUCUAAAGCUAAAUACCGGCCAGAGACCGAUAGCGCACAAGUAGAGUGAUCGAAAGAUGAAAAGCACUUUGAAAAGAGGGUUAAACAGCACGUGAAAUUGUUAAAAGGGAAGCGCUUGUGACCAGACUUGCGUCCGGUGAAUCACCCAGCUCUCGCGGCUGGGGCACUUUGCCGGCUCAGGCCCAGCAUCAGCUCGGCCGUCGGGGACAAAAGCUUCGGGAACGUAGCUCUCUUCGGGGAGUGUUAUAGCCCGUUGCACAAUACCCUUCGGCGGGCUGAGGUACGC